AGAGUUUGAUCMUGGCUCAGAACGAACGCUGGCGGCGUGCUUAACACAUGCAAGUCGAACGCGAAAGUGGUCUUCGGACCRCGAGUAGAGUGGCGCACGGGUGAGUAACGCGUAGAUAACCUACCUCUGUGUCUGGAAUAACAUUGGGAAACUGGUGCUAAUACCGGAUAGUCUUUCGUUUACGCAGGUAGACGGGAGUAAAGGUGCCCUCUGAUUCAAGGUGCCGCAUGGAGAUGGGUCUGCGUACCAUUAGCUAGUAGGUAGGGUAAUGGCCUACCUAGGCGACGAUGGUUAGCGGGUCUGAGAGGAUGRUCCGCCACACUGGAACUGGAACACGGACCAGACUCCUACGGGAGGCAGCAGUGAGGAAUUUUGCGCAAUGGGGGAAACCCUGACGCAGCGACGCCGCGUGGGUGAGGAAGGUUUUCGGAUCGUAAAGCCCUGUCAGGUGGGAAGAAAUGCUGAAUGGUUAACACCCAUGCAGUUUGACGGUACCACCAAAGGAAGCACCGGCUAACUCCGUGCCAGCAGCCGCGGUAAUACGGAGGGUGCAAGCGUUGUUCGGAAUUACUGGGCGUAAAGGGCGCGUAGGCGGCCGAUCAAGUCAUAUGUGAAAGCCCACGGCUUAACCGUGGAAGUGCAUGUGAAACUGGUUGGCUAGAGUACCGGAGGGGAAAGUGGAAUUCCCGGUGUAGAGGUGAAAUUCGUAGAUAUCGGGAGGAACACCGGUGGCRAAGGCGACUUUCUGGACGGAUACUGACGCUGAGGCGCGAAAGCGUGGGGAGCAAACAGGAUUAGAUACCCUGGUAGUCC
rnacentral:rRNA from 1 species